CAAUAAGCAAAAUAAGGGCGCACGGGGGAUGCCUGUGGCUCUCAGAGGCGAAGAAGGACGUGAUAAGCUGCGAUAAGCUUCGGGGACUGGCACACACAGAUUGAUCCGAAGAUUUCCGAAUGGGGCAACCCGGUAUGUUGAAGACAUAUCACACCGAUAGGUGAGCAAACCCGCUGAACUGAAACAUCUAAGUAGGCGGAGGAAGAGAAAACAAAAGUGAUUCCGUAAGUAGUGGCGAGCGAAAGCGGAUUAGCCCAAACCAGAGUUGUUACGGCAAUUUUGGGGUUGUAGGACUGCGAGAUUUCAUGCAAAGGGAACUGGAAUUAACUGGAAAGUUAAGCCAUAGAGGGUGAUAGCCCCGUAUAGGUAACCGAUGUAAUGGAUAGCAGUAUCCUGAGUAGGGCGGGGCACGUGAAACCCUGUCUGAAUCCGGCGGGACCAUCCGCCAAGGCUAAAUACUCCUGAGAGACCGAUAGUGAACCAGUACCGUGAGGGAAAGGUGAAAAG
rnacentral:ncRNA from 1 species